AUCAGGCGCUGCGAAAUGGCGCGCACCCGCGACACCUGCUGCGCGUCGCGAUCCAGCAGGUUCUUGGCCUGCGCCUGCUU
rnacentral:tRNA from 1 species